UCGAACGGCACCCCUCUCCGGAGGGAAGCGAGUGGCGAACGGCUGAGUAACACGUGGAGAACCUGCCCCCUCCCCCGGGAUAGCCGCCCGAAAGGACGGGUAAUACCGGAUACCCCCGGGCGCCGCAUGGCGCCCGGGCUAAAGCCCCGACGGGAGGGGAUGGCUCCGCGGCCCAUCAGGUAGACGGCGGGGUGACGGCCACCGUGCCGACAACGGGUAGCCGGGUUGAGAGACCGACCGGCCAGAUUGGGACUGAGACACGGCCCAGACUCCUACGGGAGGCAGCAUG
rnacentral:rRNA from 1 species